rnacentral:rRNA from 1 species
GUCUACGGCCAUACCACCCUGAACGCGCCCGAUCUUGUCUGAUGUUGGAAGCUAAGCAGGGUCAGGCCUGGUUAGUACUUGGAUGGGAGACCACCUGGGAAUACCGGGUGCUGUAGGCU